rnacentral:rRNA from 1 species
GUGGGGAAUUUUGGACAAUGGGCGCAAGCCUGAUCCAGCAAUGCCGCGUGUGUGAAGAAGGUCUUCGGAUCGUAAAGCACUUUCGACGGGGACGAUGAUGACGGUACCCGUAGAAGAAGCCCCGGCUAACUUCGUGCCAGCAGCCGCGGUAAUACGAAGGGGGCUAGCGUUGCUCGGAAUUACUGGGCGUAAAGGGCGCGUAGGCGGCUCUGUGAGUCAGGCGUGAAAUUCCUGGGCUUAACCUGGGGACUGCGCUUGAUACUGCAGGGCUUGAGGCCGAGAGAGGGUGGUGGAAUUCCCAGUGUAGAGGUGAAAUUCGUAGAUAUUGGGAAGAACACCGGUGGCGAAGGCGACCACCUGGCUCGGUACUGACGCUGAGGCGCGACAGCGUGGGGAGCAAACAGGAUUAGAAACCCUUGUAGUCC